UAAGCUGUUUGAUGCAAAUUUCAAGGGUCUUACUACUUUCUGGUCCUAUUCCUCAGUCUGUCUCUGCAGAUAAAUGACUACUUUUAAGUUAUCUUUAGUCCAACAGUUUGGCAUGUCUUAGCCGACUUGCUUUUAUAAUGUUUUCAGAUUUCUGGUUAUGAGCAAGACACUUUUUUAGCACAAUCUGUCUUAGGUGGAAAGAUCAUUGCCACCCGCUUCUUGAAAGUUAAUUUUGGUGACAUUUCACUCACACUGUAUUCUUUUUUGUUCCAGGGCUUGGUGAAACUGGAGCACCCUCGGAUUCAUGUGGACUUCCCUGUUAUCAUCUGUGAGUGAAACAAGAGCAUCCUGCGGAUCGAGAUGAGUUGGCAAACUUGCUGGACUAACAAAUACUCCGUCUCAGCACGAUGGUCCAUAAUGAAUUCUAGAUUGUCAUCAAGGAGCUGAACUACACUACUUUCUUGAGUAAUUGAACAGAAGGCUGCUUAUUAAGAAGCUUAACUCAAAAGUAGGCCGGAAGAAGCAGUGUGCUCAGUGUUGGGUCACAUUUUCUCUUCAAAAUGGAAUAUUCUACUCUCCAAUCUAGAGAUUUGAUUCAUGGGAGACAGUGGAAGGCUUGUUGGUAGCAGAUUUUCUCAUAUCUACAUUUCUAAAAUACCUGCUUUUAUGUUCUUCCAGUAAUUAUUUUUUGAGCAAGCAAAUGCCCUGUGAUCAGAAAAGUACUGUGCUCUGUUGGGUUUCAUUUUCCUUGUGGCUUGCACAGCAAGUUGCUCCCACUCUCUUUUUGACUGGCAUCUAAAUGGAGGCUCUGUGCAAAGGAGAUCUCAUUUCUGCCGAGCUUGACAUCUCCUAAGCUGCAGUAGAUUCCCAGGAGAAUAUCGGCAGCUGACAUCUUCUUCCUCUCUCCAAGGCAGUCUCCUUGCCUGUCCACUGUGUCUCCAGCUGUGCAGUUGCUCUGCUGGGAUUCUGCCCUCUCUCUCAUCUUGCUUUCUAUCGGCUCCUCGAGCAAAUAGCAGCUGUGAUGAGGGAGAGGUUCUUCUGCAGACUACUUUAUAUAGGAUGCUGAUACUGUGAAAGCAGAUGAUGGUAUAUAGACAAAAAUAUUGAUAUAUAUAUCACUAUCUUUGGAAUAAGCAAAAAGCUCUAUUUUGUUUUAAUGGUCCUUCUGUGCAUGUGUGGUUGUGGAGAACUGAACCCACUGGCACUACCCUUUCUGUUCUUGUAGCACACAGAAAGGAAUCCUGGAGGCAAACAUGUAUAAUAUCUAUUUCCUCUGCCUUGAAGUGCAUUUGUUGAAUUUUGUUAAAUUUCAAUAAAAUUGUUUGUAUAUCCCAGAAUAUA